rnacentral:rRNA from 1 species
UUUACCAGCCUUAUCACUCUGCUGCCCAAGACCAGGUACUCACUAAAUUUAAGCAGGGCUGAGCCUGGUCAGUACCUGGAUGGGAGACCUCAUGGGACAACAAGGUUUCUGUUGGAG